GUCGAGUGCAUUCAGAGACGGCCUUAAGGCAAUACGCCUCAUCUUCCCACAGUAAAGAUGGCGACGCCGUGAGUAAGUUACAAGUAACUCCACUUCCGCAAUUUUCUUGAGCCCUGGUCCAAGAUGGCGGACGAGGCCACCCGGCGGGUCGUGUCUGAGAUCCCGGUGCUGAAGACUAACGCCGGACCCCGAGAUCGGGAAUUGUGGGUGCAGCGACUAAAGGAGGAAUAUCAGUCCCUUAUCCGGUAUGUCGAAAACAACAAGAAUGCGGACAAUGAUUGGUUCCGACUGGAGUCCAACAAGGAAGGGACCCGGUGGUUUGGAAAAUGCUGGUACAUCCACGACUUCCUCAAAUACGAGUUUGACAUCGAGUUUGAAGUGAGUGUGAUAGAAUGGGAAGUAUGAAGAUUCCUAUCACAUAUCCCACUACUGCUCCAGAAAUUGCAGUCCCUGAGCUGGAUGGGAAAACGGCAAAGAUGUACAGGGGUGGCAAAAUAUGUCUAACUGAUCAUUUCAAACCUUUGUGGGCCAGGAAUGUGCCCAAGUUUGGACUAGCUCACCUCAUGGCCCUGGGGCUGGGUCCUUGGCUGGCAGUGGAAGUCCCUGAUCUGAUUCAGAAGGGUGUGAUCCAGCACAAAGAAAAAUGCAACCAAUGAAGGAUGAAGCUUCUGAGGCAGGACAGAGGGACUGUUGCUAGACUCUGAUUCUGUUUCCUCCUUUCUCAUGAUUCCUUCAAGGGUCACCUCUGGCCAUUACAAAGUAGCUGGAGGGACAAAUAACAAAACCCAACAAAAGGGCAAGGUCACAAAGUUGCUAAAUUAAGCUGUACAGAGAGGUGAAAGAUUUGGGCCUUGAAAGAGGCGGUUUGUAUCCCUUCUCCAAGCAGAGCCCUGGAGGCAUUUUGGAGACCUGGGGUGUAACUGACAGCAUAUAGCUUUUUGAUUUCUGGAGACAACCUGUCAAUAAAAGCUGCUUCCCAUGGUGG
rnacentral:lncRNA from 1 species